GCUUGUCUCAAAGAUUAAGCCAUGCAUGUGUAAGUAUAGUUAUAUACAGCGAAACUGCGAAUGGCUCAUUAAAUCAGUUAUAAUUUAUUUGAUGGAUAAAGGAUAUGGAUAACCGUAGAAAUUCUAGAGCUAAUACAUGCUAGAAAGCUCGACGCAAGAAGAGCUGCAUUUAUUAGAUAAAGCCAGCAUUUAGGUGAUUCAUAAUAACUUAGCGAAUCGCAAGGUUUCUUGCGAUAUAUCAUUCAAGUAUCUGCCCUAUCAGCUUUGAUGGUAGUGUAUUGGACUACCAUGGCAUUAACGGGUAACGGAGAAUUAGGGUUCGGUUCCGGAGAAAGAGCCUGAGAAACGGCUAUUACAUCUAAGGAAGGCAGCAGG
rnacentral:rRNA from 1 species